UACGUAGGGGGCAAGCGUUGUCCGGAUUUAUUGGGCGUAAAGAGCGUGUAGGCGGUUUGGUAGGUCCGCUGUGAAAACUCGAGGCUCAACCUCGAGAUGUCGGCGGAAACCACUUGGCUAGAGUCCGGAAGAGGAGAGUGGAAUUCCUGGUGUAGCGGUGAAAUGCGCAGAUAUCAGGAAGAACACCUAUGGCGAAGGCAGCUCUCUGGGACGGUACUGACGCUGAGACGCGAAAGCGUGGGGAGCGAACAGG
rnacentral:rRNA from 1 species